GAUGAACGCUGGCUACAGGCUUAACACAUGCAAGUCGAGGGGAAACGACGGGGAAGCUUGCUUCCCCGGGCGUCGACCGGCGCACGGGUGAGUAACGCGUAUCCAACCUGCCUCUGACUGAGGGAUAACCCGUCGAAAGUCGGCCUAAUACCUCAUGGCAUCGUCUGCGGGCAUCCAACGACGAUUAAAGAUUUCAUCGGUCAGGGAUGGGGAUGCGUCUGAUUAGCUUGUUGGCGGGGUAACGGCCCACCAAGGCUACGAUCAGUAGGGGUUCCGAGAGGAAGGUCCCCCACAUUGGAACUGAGACACGGUCCAAACUCCUACGGGAGGCAGCAGUGAGGAAUAUUGGUCAAUGGGCGGGAGCCUGAACCAGCCAAGUAGCGUGCAGGAGGACGGCCCUAUGGGUGGUAAACUGCUUUUAGGCGGGGAUAAAGUGAGGGACGUGUCCUUCAUUGCAGGUACCGCAUGAAUAAGGACCGGCUAAUUCCGUG
rnacentral:rRNA from 1 species